rnacentral:lncRNA from 1 species
CUUUACUCUGUUAAUAUAGAUAAUUAAGUUAAUUUUAAUGCUGUGUUCUCAAGUAAUCCAUACCUGGUCAAGUUCAAUUACUCAUUUAAUACUAGUGGAUUCUAUUUAGGCAUUUUGCUUAUGUUUAACAAGUCGGUUUAUUGUUUAGAGAUGGAGAGUACUUGUGUCAGGGUUCCAUCAAGGUACAGAAAAUAUACCAGUUAUUUGAUUACAGGAAAUUUAACGUACAGAAUGAUUAAUAGAACAUGGGUUACUAAUAAUGAAGGUUGGGGUAAAAGAGGACUGUAAGCGGUCCAGAAAUAGCAAGUGCAACAAAGCAGCUACUAUUUUUAGGCCAGGGAAGAGAGUCCGAUAAAAGAACUAAAGAGUAGGAGAGCUGCCUCCCCUGAAACAGAUACUCUCCAGUGGUAAGACUCAGAUUUCUUCAUCAAGAAAAUGGCUACCACAGUAAAAUGCAGCCUGCCAAAGAUGAGAAAACUCACCACCAGUCAUAGACCAGAGCUAAUUUCUGAGGGCACUGUAUUGCCAGGUCCCUGGAUGUGGUGUGAAGACUGUUCUCUACAAAACUCUAGAAGGCACGAUUUUCAUCAGAUUCACAGCCAGCGUGGCCAUACACAUGUCCAUAGAGGUGAGGGGGAAAAAGAAACCACUCAGGUUAUUACUGGUGGCAGAGCUGGAUCAUUAACCACAAGCGCGAUGAAUAUGGCAAGUAAAGCAUUUCAAGCAACAACUGCAACUCAUGAAAGUGCCACAAGUUAUGAGAGAACUAACAUUCAGAAAAUUAGUUCAUCAAAGUUGGAACUUUCAUUGAAAGUGUGAGAAACGACAAAGGGCUGGUAACAAUGAACCUACAGUGAGGCAGAGAAGAAGAAAAGGAAAAUAACCUGUGGGUUCUUUUACAUCUUAACCCAGUAACAACCCAAGCUUUUUCAGGAUUGUCAAUAAUUCUCACAACAUUCAUUUUAUG